rnacentral:lncRNA from 1 species
AUAAUUCUUAUUAGAAUUUGAUUAAGAUUUGCAAGAAAAUUUAUUUCUAUUGCAAAAUCAUAGUUGUUGUCACAAAUCAUGUGUAAUGCGAAGGGGUAAAGACAGAGAGGAUGUCUUAAAUUCCGAUGGGAUAAGAUCGACUGUUGUUGCGAGCCGCGUGAUGGAUGAUGCCGCUGUUGUGUGUCGCACUCCAUGUGUGCCAGGAAACACCGCUGUCGUGCAUGAGGGUGCGGCCGGUUACGUAAUUUUUUCACUGCACCAUGAGAGUGCGCUGUUGUAAAGAACAUGGGUUGUGGGCCGUGACCGUCGUUGCUGGAUGCGCUGGUGCGGUAGUUGCCUUUCGUGAGAUGAAGGGAUCAAAUAUGGAUGGAUCCAUCUGUUUCCAUGUGAAGAGGCGAUUCUCAUAAAGGUGUACAUGCAAAAAGGAUCAAUAAUCAGAUCAUUGAUUUUAAUUACAAGAAGACGAGCAAAUUAGUAUUCUCGUGGCUGACUUCCUGCGUGGUUGCAUGCUGAGUGGACGAUUGGCUCCUUGGGCAGGGCCGGUGCAUGGCUGUAGAGCAAUCAAGAUGCGAGGAUCUCAAUCAAAACUAUUUUGUCCAGCGAUUCGUCGAUAACUUGAUCAACCAUCUUGUCCAGCGAUAAUCCGAGAUCAAUUGCUCUCACCAUGGAGAACAAAGUGCUGAUAACGUGUUUGAAGUAAAAAGUAAAGAAACGAAAGAGAUGAAUGAAAGAUGAAUCAUUAGUCUUUAUUGAUGAUAGCAAUGGGGUAUUUAUACCCGGGCGGAAGUACAU